AGGAAGUUGACUGCAAAAAGCCUGGCAUAGCACCUGCCAUACAAAAUGUCUCAGCAAAUGCCUCACUUUGUUACCAACUUUGCAACUUAGACUCCCCAUCCAAUAAUUUUGUGACUUUGGGUGUGUCCUUUAACCACUGAAAACUCGUUUCGUCAUCUUCAAGUCGAGGAUAAGAACUGCUACUCCACAUGACUGCUGAGCAGGGAUGGAUGCCCCUGCAAUAAGAUGCAAGGUCGUGCCUAUAGUCAUACUCCAAAUUAUGAGACUCCGGAAGUAUAACUGCCAGAUCCCAUCUCAGCCUGUAUUCCCCAUUGUUUCUGGGAGCUGCUAAGCCUCACAUGGGUUUGUGUUCAUGAACCAUUCUUCUGGCCACAGUGGAACCAGCGGCAUCCAAGACCAUAGCCUCUUCAGGUCUGCCCGGGGGUUUCUGCUUCACCUGUCUGCUCUUCAUCUGCUGCUGCACGAUUCAGUACCAAAAAGUAAAAGAAAGAGAGAGAGAGAGAGAGAGAGAGAGAGAGAGAAAGAAAGAAAGAAAGAAAGAAAGAAAGAAAGAAAGAAAGAAAGAAAAGGAAGGGAGGAAGUGAGGAAAGAAAGAAAGAAAGAAAGAAGAAAAGAAAGAAAGAAAGAAAGAAAGAAAGAAAGAAGAAAAAAGUAAGCUGCUUCUAAAGACAGCUCUAGUUUAAGGAAACAAUUUAUGAUCUCAAAUGCAACAGCUGCCUUCAGGUUAAUGAUGGCUUCAUACUAUCCAGAGACAAAGAGAGUCAAUCAUCAUUUGUUUCCACAAGUGUCUUCUGUCUUCUUUGAAGUCAUCAGUGCCAUCAGUAGCUAACAAUCUGCUAGAAGUCCCACAAGUAGACAUGGUUUUUAUUACGCCAGCCAUGUUUGUACACAAGCACCAGCGGCCAAGAUAAAAGCUAACAAAAAUGAUCUUCCUCAAUAAAUAUGUUAGUAGAUCAUAACAA